CUCAAAAUAAUGCAACGUCUUCCUCCCUCUGGGGGAAGAGGUAAGCUCCUUAAUCAUCAACAAGAGCUUGCCAUAGUAGAUAUGGUUGUUGCAAAUAACGCAAUUAAACUGCAUGAGAUUCAAAGCAUAAUUUUGGAGGACCAAGAGAUAUUUCACAAUAUCAAUAGCAUCAGCCUCGCAACCAUUACGCGGGCAUUGUCCAAACACAGAGUGCGGAUGAAACAGCUCUACACUGUUCCCUUUGAGAGGAACAGUGAGCGAGUCAAGGUGCUACGACAACAAUAUACCCAGAGAGUUAUGGAAUUGGAGGCCAACCAGGCCCCUCAUGAAUUUGUAUACGUGGAUGAGGCAGGAUUUAAUCUGGCCAAAAGGCGUCGACGUGGAAGAAAUGUCAUUGGAAAAAGGGCCACAGUUGAUGUUCCUGGACAGAGAGGGGCAAAUAUCACUAUUUGUGCGGCAAUUUCAAAUGCAGGAUCACUCCUCCACAAAUGUCAGGUUGGACCUUACAACACCGAGCGCCUCCUUGCUUUUCUCGAUGAUCUCCACCAGCGCCUGGUUCCAGAGCAGGAUCAGGAGGGUGAAAACAGGAGGACCUUCGUUAUCACCUGGGACAACGUGGCCUUCCAUCACUCACAAGCAGUUACAGCAUGGUUUGAGGUCCACCCAAGACUGAUUUGUCUAUUUCUUCCACCCUAUUCACCUUUCCUCAACCCCAUAGAGGAGUUAUUUUCUACAUGGAGGUGGAAAGUCUAUGACCAUCAGCCACAUGACCAGUUGUCCCUCCUUGAAGCCAUGGAUGCUGGCUGCAGGGACAUCACAGUUGAUGAUUGUCAAGGGUGGAUCAGGCAUUCCAAGCGGUUUUAUCCAAGGUGUAUCGCCUUGGAUAACAUCAGAUGCGAUGUGGAUGAAAACUUGUGGCCUAACCCUGAAGAUCGCAGGGAUUAGAUAAAGGAUUUUUUUGCUUUUUUUUAGUUCUCCCUUUUUACUGGGCUUUUUGCUGUUGCCUUUUUGUUCAUGGAUAUUUUGUUAACUUUACAGUAAACAAUACUGUAAAACGUUUUCUGUUGUAUCAUACUGUAAAUAGUAUUUCUACUAUACCUCCUGUAGUAAACAG
ensembl:lncRNA